rnacentral:misc_RNA from 1 species
GAUGAAGAACGCAGCGAAAUGCGAUAAGUAGUGUGAAUUGCAGAAUUCAGUGAAUCAUCGAAUCUUUGAACGCACAUUGCGGCCAUAGGUAUUCCUUUGGCCAUGCCUGUUCGAGCGUCAUUUACACCCUCAAGCCUAGCUUGGUGUUGGGCGCCUGUCCCGCCGUUUUCGCGCGCGGACUCGCCUCAAAGUCAUUGGCGGCGGUCGUGCCGGCCCCCUCGCGCAGCACAUUUGCGCUUCUCGGAGGCCCGGCGGAUCCGCGCUCCAGCAAGACCUUUCACGACUUGACCUCGGAUCAGGUAGGGAUACCCGCUGAACUUAAGCAUAUCAAUAACGGAGGA